GGUUGAUCCUGCCAGUAGUGAUAUGCUUGUUUCAAAGAUUAAGCCAUGCAUGUCUAAGUAUAAGCGAACUUAUACAGUGAAACUGCAGAUGGCUCAUUAAAACAGUUUGAAUUUAUUUGAUGAAUGUACGAGAGUACUACAUGGAUAUCCGUAGUAAUUCUAGAGCUAAUACAUGCAACAACGCCCGACCGCAAGGAAGGGUUGUAUUUAUUGGAUACAAAAACCAAACCUGGCAACAGGUUUUGUUUGUUGAUUCACAAUAACUGAUCGGACCGUGGCUUCGGCUAUGGUAG
rnacentral:rRNA from 1 species